CUGUGCAAAGGUAGCAUAAUCAUUAGUUUUUUAAUUGAAAGCUGGAAUGAAUGGUUUGAUAAAAAAAUUUCUGUCUCAUGAUUAAAAAUUUGAAUUUUAUUUUUAAGUCAAAAAGCUUAAAUUAUUUAGAAAGACGAGAAGACCCUAUAGAGUUUUAUAUAAUAAUUUUAAUUUAAAUUGGCUGUAAAAAUUGAUUUAAGAAAAUUUAUAUUUUGUUGGGGUGACAAGAAAAUUGAUUAAACUUUUUUUUAUAAGAACAUUAAUGAAUGAAAAAUUGAUCCUGAUGUUUGGAUUGAAAGAAAAAAUUACCUUAGGGAUAACAGCGUUAUUUUUUUUUAGAGUACUAAUUUAAAAAAAGGGUUGCGACCUCGAUGUUGGAUUAAAAUUUAAGUUUGGUGCAGGAGCUAAAGCUUUAGGUCUGUUCGACCUUUAAAAUU
rnacentral:rRNA from 1 species